GGGCUGAAAGCAGAAAAGGCCCAUUAUAGCGCUCAGCCGAGGGGCGAUCCUACCUGAGUGAAACCGUGUCUUCUGAUUGGUCGAACCAUCCUGCCCACGGAUCGCAAGUUUCAACCGUUCGAUUUGCCAAGAUCGGACGGAUGGCGUACAACCCCUAUCCUAUCUUCUUUCUCCCCUACCCCCGCAGCCACGGGCUACUCUUCCGCCGAGAAACGAGCCGCCAUUCCUUCCAGCCUCUUCUCCCAGUGCUUUCCUUCCUCCCAUCUGGCUGGGCGCAUCUCGGCGUUCCGGAACGCGACCACGACCGAGGGCCGACCCGUCGAGGCAUCCUUAUGCUCGUUGACCUGUCGGGCACUCCUCCUUUUCUGUCCAUCGUGCCGGCCUCCAGGAGGAAGACUUCUCCGGCGAGCCCGAGGUAUAGGAGCUCUGAGGCCGUAGCAAGGCAAGGACGGCCGCCAUGAAGUGCAGAUCGUCCCCAACAACCGGUGGUGCCGCGCUGGGCCACCGGAGGUGUGGGGCUGCGUCGACCCGGCGCCGAGGAGAUGUGUUGACCCGUCGCGGAGAUCUGUGUGGUGGUGGCCCCUCCCAUAGAGGGUUCGCUGCGAUGGGCUCCUAUUCCCGAAUGGCGGCGGUCAGCGUUUUCCGCACCCACCGUGCGUGCUGGAGGUCAAGGGCAUAGGGGCAGUGACAUGCAUGCUCACCAUCCUCAUCCACCGUUGCUUUUUUUAGUGUACACGGACGGUGGGGGUACCAUCCAGAUGGAGUGCGCAAGAUGUCCCGCGAGCGCUGGCCGAUCUCCAGCGAGUGCUUUAUGAGUAAUUUGUAAAUUUUAUUUUGGGGCGCAUUUUUCUUUUGGUGUCAUUUGUCUUUUUGUCAAUUGCAUCUAUUUUUCUUUUUUGACGGGAAUUGUAUUUUUGCUGAAUGAUAGUAUUAUAAAAAUAUUAAUAAAAUAACUUAUGUGUCGAAA